rnacentral:rRNA from 1 species
CUGCGAGUGAAGAGGGAAGAGCUCAUCAUUGGAAUCUGGCAGUGUUGCACUGUCCGAGUUGUAGAUGAGGAGUAGUCCGUCUGGACUGCAUGGCGUCCAAGUACAAUAGGCCGUCAGUGGGACAUCAUAGAGGGUGACAAUCCCGUCCUUGACGCCAAUGUGCAAGUCUAUUACGAUGGCUAUCUCAGAGAGUCGAGCAGUUUGGGAUUUGCUGCUUAAACAUGGGAGGUAGAUUCCUUCUAAAGCUAAAUACAGGCGAGAGACCGAUAGAGAACAAGUACCGCAAGGGAAAGAUGAAAUAGCACUCUGUGAAGGGAGUCAAAAGGCGUGAAAUUGUUGCGAGAGAAGCGAUUCAAGUCAGCGUAGCUAGGCCCAUCAAGCGUCUUCGCUUUGGACUAGCUUUGCCAGCGGUCUUGUCCCUUGAAGAGACUUGACUUGUAAUAUGUCCAGCCUGGCGUGCACAGGCAGCCCCUUCUGGGGGCCAGUGGCAUGGCUGGUGGAAUGGCUUGCAAUCGACCCGUCUUGAAACACGGACCAAGGAGUCUAACAUGUAUGCGAGUAUAAGGGUGGCAAACCCGUAUGCGCAAUGAAAGUGAUUUUCGGUGAUUGAGAAUGGCCUGAUGACCAGACAAGCAAUAUAUGUCCCUCGUACGGCCAUUGCCCAAGUUCCGUGGUAGAUCCCACGAACAUGGAGUUGGAGCAUACAUGCUAGGACCCGAAAGAUGGUGAACUAUGCCUGGACAAAGCGAAGCCAAAGGAAACUCUGGUGGAGGCUUGUAGCGAUUCUGACGUGCAAAUCGAUCGUCUGAUCUGGGUAUAGGGGCGAAAGACUAAUCGAACCAUCUCAUAGCUGGUUCUGC